UAGCGUAGCUAACGCGUGAAAUUGACCGCCUGGGGAGUACGGCCGCAAGGUUAAAACUCAAAGGAAUUGACGGGGACCCGCACAAGCGGUGGAUGAUGUGGAUUAAUUCGAUGCAACGCGAAAAACCUUACCUGGUCUUGACAUGUACGGAACUUGCCAGAGAUGGCUUGGUGCCCGAAAGGGAGCCGUAACACAGGUGCUGCAUGGCUGUCGUCAGCUCGUGUCGUGAGAUGUUGGGUUAAGUCCCGCAACGAGCGCAACCCUUGCCAUUAGUUGCCAUCAUUAAGUUGGGCACUCUAAUGGGACUGCCGGUGACAAACCGGAGGAAGGUGGGGAUGACGUCAAGUCCUCAUGGCCCUUAUGACCAGGGCUUCACACGUCAUACAAUGGUCGGUACAGAGGGUAGCCAAGCCGCGAGGUGGAGCCAAUCUCAUAAAACCGAUCGUAGUCCGGAUCGCACUCUGAACUCGAGUGCGUGAAGUGGAAUCGCUAAAUGGCAA
rnacentral:rRNA from 1 species